AAUGAAUUUUCAUUUUUUCCAUAGCUUACAACUCUCCGCGACCUGCAAUUUAGCUGGGAACUUCCCCAGAGAAGUGUAAAUACUUCCAUGGCUUGGGCGGAGCUGAUGAGGAUUACUUGCAGGAAUACGGAGAAGCGUGUCCAGGGUGAUCCUAGGUGCCAUUCUUGUAAUCCUGUAUGCUCAACGUCAGAUUGGCCGAUGACCUAACCAAGACAGAUGGUAACUAUACCUUCAUCGCACAUAAUUUCAUACACGCGAGGAAUAGAAAUGAAACUGCAAGAACGUUUGCGAAUGGAGAAUUGACAAUCAACAAAAGGGAACAUUAAAACUAAACCCAUAGAUGCGCAGAGAAAAGAAAAAAAUGUGGUGAAGGUUUGAGAGGAAAUGAUGCUGCAAGCCUUUCUUCACCCAUAAAGCCACCACCACCUCCACCAUCGCAGCAUUCUCCCCUGUGCUAUUUUGAAAUACGCAUGAAACCUUUCUGACAAUAAUUUAAUGAGAAUGUGAGUAAAGACACUAGAAACCCUCCUAACCUCCAGUGUGUCCAACCCCUUGCUUUCUUGAUACUAUAUCCCGGCGAAAAAGCCUAAUGGAGCACCACCCUCAAAUUGAUGCCAGUCAUCGGGGGCGAUCCUCUUCAACCAGCAGUAGCCGCCGACGCCACAAAAAUAUCACACCAUGAGUCUACAGAUUAGAACCUUUCUCUCUCGCCUCCUCCUUGGGCCAAGCAAGGAAUCGAGCCGAUGGUGAGGAACCAAGUCCAGAAUAUGAAGUACUAGUAUCCAUCUAUACGUCCAGACGACCAUUUCUCAUUCAAUUUACUUCUUAUGGUAUCCACUAGGUACAUACAUUCAAAAACUAUAUCCAGUAGCUACGAAUGACCGUAUCUGCUCUUAUAUGUUGUUUGGCAUUGAAGAACUUAUUUUUAAGAGGGCUGGUGUGUGGGGGAACCAAUAUCCAUGGAUGUUGCAGGACAUAAAGUUACCCCUGGAAAACCUAUUACACCCUGAAUUUAUUUGUCCUUUGGAGGUUUCAGAAGAAAUAGCAGUAUCAAAUUAUCGGUACAUUAUAUAACACUCUUGAAGGCG
rnacentral:sRNA from 1 species